AACGAACGCUGGCGGCAUGCCUAACACAUGCAAGUCGAACGAGACCUUCGGGUCUAGUGGCGCACGGGUGCGUAACGCGUGGGAACCUGCCCUUAGGUUCGGAAUAACUCCCCGAAAGGGGUGCUAAUACCGGAUAAUGUCUUCGGACCAAAGAUUUAUCGCCUUUGGAUGGGCCCGCGUUGGAUUAGCUAGUUGGUAGGGUAAAAGCCUACCAAGGCGACGAUCCAUAGCUGGUCUGAGAGGAUGAUCAGCCACACUGGGACUGAGACACGGCCCAGACUCCUACGGGAGGCAGCAGUGGGGAAUAUUGGACAAUGGGCGAAAGCCUGAUCCAGCAAUGCCGCGUGAGUGAUGAAGGCCUUAGGGUUGUAAAGCUCUUUUACCCGGGAUGAUAAUGGCAGUACCGGGAGAAUAAGCCCCGGCUAACUCCGUG
rnacentral:rRNA from 1 species